rnacentral:lncRNA from 1 species
GCCCCACUCGCACUAUCCUUUUCCAUGUUCCAUGGACCGUGAAAUUGGGUAAUUAUCUAAUUUGGCAUUAAAAUUAGAAAGAUCAUACCAUAAGCAACAAGUGUACUAAGUUUCAAGUUGAUUGGACUUCAGCUUCAUCAAAAACUACCUUGACCAAAAACUUUAACCUGAAACUCCCACUUUCAUUCUCUAUGUUCAGUGGACCGUGAAAUUGGGGUCAAAAGUCUAAUUUGGCUUAAAAAUUAGAAAGAUCAUCUCAUAAGCAACAAGUGUACUAAGUUUCAAGUUGAUUGGACUUCAGCUUCAUCAAAAACUACCUUGACCAAAAACUUUAACCUGGACGGACGAACGGAACCACAGACGGACGGACGGACGAACGGAGCCACAGACCAGAAAACAUAAUGCCCCUCUACUAUCGUAGGUGGGGCAUAAAAAUUGUACACCAACACAGAAUUA